rnacentral:rRNA from 1 species
AGCGAACGCUGGCGGCAGGCUUAACACAUGCAAGUCGAACGGGCAUAGCAAUAUGUCAGUGGCAGACGGGUGAGUAACGCGUGGGAACGUACCUUUUGGUUCGGAACAACACAGGGAAACUUGUGCUAAUACCGGAUAAGCCCUUACGGGGAAAGAUUUAUCGCCGAAAGAUCGGCCCGCGUCUGAUUAGCUAGUUGGUAGGGUAAUGGCCUACCAAGGCGACGAUCAGUAGCUGGUCUGAGAGGAUGAUCAGCCACAUUGGGACUGAGACACGGCCCAAACACCUACGGGAGGCAGCAGUGGGGAAUAUUGGACAAUGGGCGAAAGCCUGAUCCAGCCAUGCCGCGUGAGUGAUGAAGGCCCUAGGGUUGUAAAGCUCUUUUGUGCGGGAAGAUAAUGACGGUACCGCAAGAAUAAGCCCCGGCUAACUUCGUG